CCCUUAGAUGUUCUGGGCCGCACGCGUGCUACACUGAUGCAUUCAACGAGUCUAAAACCUGGUCUGAUGGGGCUGGGUAAUCUUUUGAAAGUGCAUCGUGAUUGGGAUAGAUGAUUGCAAUUCUUCAUCUUCAACGAGGAAUGCCUAGUAAACGCAAGUCAUCAGCUUGCAUUGAUUACGUCCCUGCCCUUUGUACACACCGCCCGUCGCUCCUACCGAUUGAAUGAUCCGAUGAAUACCAUGGAUUGAGAGUACGAAUAGGUUCGCUUAUUUCUGCUGCUCGAGAAGUGGAGUAAAUCUUAUCAUUUAGAGGAAGGAGAAGUCGUAACA
rnacentral:rRNA from 1 species